UAGGGAAUCUUCCGCAAUGGGCGAAAGCCUGACGGAGCAACGCCGCGUGAGUGAUGAAGGUCUUCGGAUCGUAAAACUCUGUUAUUAGGGAAGAACAAAUGUGUAAGUAACUAUGCACGUCUUGACGGUACCUAAUCAGAAAGCCACGGCUAACUACGUGCCAGCAGCCGCGGUAAUACGUAGGUGGCAAGCGUUAUCCGGAAUUAUUGGGCGUAAAGCGCGCGUAGGCGGGUGUUUAAGUCUGAUGUGAAAGCCCACGGCUCAACCGGGGAGGGUCAUUGGAAACUGGAAAACUUGAGUGCAGAAGAGGAAAGUGGAAUUCCAUGUGUAGCGGUGAAAUGCGCAGAGAUAUGGAGGAACACCAGUGGCGAAGGCGACUUUCUGGUCUGUAACUGACGCUGAUGUGCGAAAGCGUGGGGAUCAAACAGG
rnacentral:rRNA from 1 species